AUGCUGACUGGCUGCCUCUGUAUGAACUGGAUGAGGUGGCCGUAAAUGUCAUCGAAACCUAUGGCAUCAGCAAGGAAAAGGAUCUGGUGCAGAAGAUGCAGUACCUGAACUGUAUUUGCUCACUGUGCAGCGCUGCUGAACAGAAGGGCUUGACAGUGUACCUGGAUAUCUUCUGCUUCCUAAACAAUGUGACAGAGAACAUUGAGGUGAGGGGACAUGGCACCCAGGUACCCUGUAAGAAGGACAGAGCAGGGGGAGAGGGAGGCAGGGAAAUCAUGCACAGACACCAAAGUUCCCCAGAUGAGACUCCAGGUGCUGCUGAGACCUCAGCAGUGGAGGCAGACAGCAGCACCAGUGUGACAGGGUUUGCUGAGGGCCACUGGGGAGACACAGGCCCUACCGGUCAGUGGCAGGUUUUCUGUUGGUGGGUGCUGGCAGCUGCCAGGUGCCAUCCUGAUUUGAUUGUGCUUUGCAGGUUCUGUUGUGUGAGGAGCCCAGGGAUCAGCUGAACACAGCUCUAAGAUACCACUGCAUGAAUGCGAUUGCUGCAAUGAGCCAAGUGGAAGCAAUUUCGGAGGAAGAACUAUUACAUCUUUUAAAAGCGUGCUGCAGAGUCAUCUUCUGCCUUCCUCCAACCAGGGAAUUGAACAUUUGCCUCUACAACCAUACCCUGGAUGCUAUGGACAACAUGCUGGAGGCUAUGCUGUACCACUGUCCCACCGCCAGUUUCAAUAGUCUGCUGCAGAGAAUCUUUGAGGUGCUGCGGCCCUUCACCAUUUCUGAUAGCAAAACUGUGCGCGACAGGGCCAUGGAGCGGAUCUGGAUGCUUUAUAGUUUCCUGGCCAGCAAUCCCUUGCCGGAGAUGCCUAGAAGAUUACUUGAAGCUCCUCUGACUACAGACAUUGUCUUCAGGACCCUUGAAAAGAUCAGUGCUGACUGCAGCCCUGAGGACAAGGAAUAUGCCAGGAUUCUACUGGAUUUUCUUUUAAAAGACCCUAUCACCUGGCUGACAGAUGUGCCAGAGAUUCUGGUGUUCAUCCAGAGAAAUCUGAAAAACAACAGCACAUCAGAUCAGGCGCCCUUCCUGUCGGUGCUUGAUGUGCUGGCACGCUGCUUUCCCAUGCAUGUGUUAGAAAGCAUAUUGACACAACUACCACACAGUGACAGCGCUACUGUGGAGGUCUGGAAGAUGGUGCUUUCCCUGCCGGAAUCUUCCGAAAAAAUCCUGGAAGGACUGUGCAUAAUUCUCCAGAACAAAAAUUUGCACAGGAUCACCACAAUGGGGUCUGGCCUCCUUCAGCAGACUAUGCCAGAGAUUCUCAGAUGA
rnacentral:lncRNA from 1 species